UAACGCGCAAUUCUAUUAUAAUAUAACAUUAGAUUUACAUAAUGGCAUUAAUAGGAAGCCCACCGCUCGAACAACCCUAAAAAGUUAUUUAAGGGGGCUUCUCCAUGCAUCCCAACCCUUUUUCUUGUACCCUAAAACUUUUCUUAUUCUCAAUUUUGCCUACAGUUAAAGUUAAAUGUAGAAAGGGAAAAAAUAAUAAAACAAAAUUCAGCCGCACUGCACCCCCUGGACCCAGCAAAUCUGCUUUUAUUGUAAGUCUCUGCACCCAAAAAGGAAUCUUGUUGACCUAACCUAGCAGCAGCACAGCAGCAGAGGCAUUUAAAAUUAGGCUUCUGUUUUUUGCAUUCAUGCCUUCAUUCAUUUUUGCCUUCACCUUGAUGCCUUUUUUGCCUUCACUUAUAUUUCCAUUGACGUUGUUGCCUUGUGGAGUAGAUCUGACCCGCAGCCGUAGAGCACCAACAAGCACCAAGCAGUUCGGCGACGAGGCUUCCAGUUUCACAUUCACAAUCACAACCUUCCCCUUCUGCAUUUAAUCCACCAUCCACACGUCUAAUAUGGUUAGGACACGAAAAAAUUUAUCUACACGCAAUUCACAUGAUGCACCCGAGAGUUCUGCACAGAGUGCUACACGGAAAAGACCGACCACUUCAGCUCGUAGAAGAGGUCAGCACGAGGCUGAUGUUGUUCAGGAUGAUGUUGUUGAGCAUGAGGUUUUCGGUGUUCCUCAGGACGAGGAGUAUGAGAUUGAUAACGAUGGUGCAUGAUUUCCAGGUGAUCCGUCUGAUACAUCUUUAUUGACUCGGUACCAAGAUCAUGUUGCACGGAUCAUAUGGGAUGGUCAGGCUUUGAUAUACGAGCACUUUCAUGCAUUAGGAAGGAAGCAAUUAUGAGAUACAUAUGUGGAGACCAAACCCCAUGCCAGACAUUAUGUAACCAGACGCGCUACUUCCGCUAUAACUGAUGUUAGAGUCCAAUUGGAUGCCUUGACAUAUGAUGGGAUGAUUUGGAACCCAUAUGUAGCACAUAGAGCUGGUCGACCACUUGUUGUUUCUGCCAUGUUUUCUGGCUUCUUGAGGCUUGGUAUCCUUAUACAUCGUCAUCUGUCAGAGCGUGUGCUACUACAAUUUGGCUUCAUGCAGCCUAUUCCACGACCGUCGAGUACAUUUCCCAUGUUGGACUUUGUGACUAUUGAUGAUCAGUGGAGAAACCACGAGCAGUUUGUCGUAGUUCAGGUGGUCCCCCUGCCAACUCCUUUUUCAUGUUCAGAUGGAUAUUUGCAAUGGUUUAGGAGGUUCUCUGAUCCAUACAUUUUACACGGAGUUAAGGUCGACCGACCUAGCCUUGUGAUUAUGCCCCAACGACGUUAGCGUCAUCAUCUUCUCGUGGUUUAUUGGUAUGUUAUAAAUUUAUUUGUUCAUAUUAUUAGUAACUUAAAUAUUUGACAUUAACUUGGUAUUAUCAUAGGGUGUCAUGAAACGCAUUGUCAGCGGUCUUAAGUAGAUGAUAGACUGUAGAGACGUUAGUGAGGGCAUAAUUGCUUAGGAUCGCACGCAUGAGUUAUUGCAGAUAGCUCGUGAUGCGACAAUAACUCGUGAUGCGAGAGAAUAGGAAGAGACUAGAGGAGGACGUAGAGUCUGAGGUCGAUGACCAUUUACGUCUGGAUAGUCGAUUUACUUUAUAUUUAUAUUUGAUGUUACAAUUUACAUUUUUAUUAGA